rnacentral:rRNA from 1 species
AUUGAACGCUGGCGGCAUGCUUUACACAUGCAAGUCGAACGGUAACAGGGAGCUUGCUCCGCUGACGAGUGGCGAACGGGUGAGUAAUGCAUCGGAACGUGCCGUGUAAUGGGGGAUAACGUAGCGAAAGUUACGCUAAUACCGCAUACGCCCUGAGGGGGAAAGUGGGGGACCGCAAGGCCUCACGUUAUACGAGCGGCCGAUGUCGGAUUAGCUAGUUGGUGGGGUAAAGGCCUACCAAGGCGACGAUCCGUAGCGGGUCUGAGAGGAUGAUCCGCCACACUGGGACUGAGACACGGCCCAGACUCCUACGGGAGGCAGCAGUGGGGAAUUUUGGACAAUGGGGGCAACCCUGAUCCAGCCAUGCCGCGUGAGUGAAGAAGGCCUCGGUUGUAACCUACUUCUAGUAGGGAAGAAGACGAAAGUAGACGGUACCGUACAGAAGAAGACACCGGCUAACUACGUAGCCAGCAGCCGCGGUAAAGGACUACGUAGA